CGUGUAGGCGGCCCGGAAAGUCGGAUGUGAAAGCCCUGGGCUUAACCUAGGAAGUGCAUUCGAAACUGCCGGGCUUGAGUUCUGGAGAGGAAGGCGGAAUUCUCGGUGUAGAGGUGAAAUUCGUAGAUAUCGAGAGGAACACCGGUGGCGAAGGCGGCCUUCUGGACAGUGACUGACGCUGAGACGCGAAAGCGUGGGGAGCAAACAGGAUUAGAUACCCUGGUAGUCCACGCCGUAAACGAUGAGUGCUAGGUGUCGCGGGCUUUGACCCCUGCGGUGCCGCAGCUAACGCAUUAAGCACUCCGCCUGGGGAGUACGGCCGCAAGGCUAAA
rnacentral:rRNA from 1 species